ACUGAAUAGAUACCCGGGUAGUCCAUGCCGUAAACUAUGGAUACUAGCUGUUGGGGGUAUCGACCCCUCCAGUAGCGAAAGCUAAACGCGUUAAGUAUCCCGCCUGUGGAGUACGAUCGCAAGAUUAAACAAUAAAGGAAUUGACGGGGACCCGGCACAAGCGGUGGAGCGUGUUCUUUAAAUUCGAUGCUAAACGAAGAACCUUACCAGGGCUUGACAUCCCUUGAAUUACUCCGAAAGGAGUGAGUGCUUUAUUGAGCAAGGUGACAGGUGAUGCAUGGCCGUCGUCAGCUCGUGUCGUGAGAUGUUUGGUUAAGUCCAUCAACGAGCGCAACCCUUAUACUUAGUUGUAUUUUUCUAGGUAGACUGCCCCGGUAACGGGGA
rnacentral:rRNA from 1 species